UGUGUUUGUGUUUUUGAAGUGUGUGAAUAUGACAGGAGGUUGUACGCUGAUGGAGAAACGUUCAGUCCUGAGGGGAGUGGACCCUGUCUGCAGUGCAGAUGUAAGGGUGGUAAUGUAGUUUGCCAUGAAGAGAAAUGCAGUCCGGUCCAGUGUUCCCAGCCAGUUAUAGACCCACUUCGCUGUUGUCCAUCGUGUAAAGCGUGUGUGUUGGAGGAGGUUGAAUAUGAAGAAGGCUCCAGUUGGCAACUUGAGAACUCCUGCUCCAGCUGCAGUUGUGUGAACGGAGACAUUUCGUGUGCACAAAUACAGUGUCCAGCCACGGAGUGCCUGCAUCCAACCAAAAU